rnacentral:rRNA from 1 species
UACGGAGGAUGCAAGCGUUAUCCGGAAUGAUUGGGCGUAAAGCGUCCGCAGGUGGCUAUGUAAGUCUGCUGUUAAAGAGUGAGGCUCAACCUCAUAAGAGCAGUGGAAACUACAUGGCUAGAGUGCGUUCGGGGCAGAGGGAAUUCCUGGUGUAGCGGUGAAAUGCGUAGAGAUCAGGAAGAACACCGGUGGCGAAAGCGGCUCUCUGGGAACGGUACUGACGCUGAGACGCGAAAGCGUGGGGAGCGAACAGG